UGAGCAAUCUGCCCUUCUCUUCGGAAUAAGCGUGGGAAACCGCGUCUAAUGCCGAAUACGACCUCCUUUCGCAUGAUCGGAGGUGGAAAGCUCCGGCGGAGAAGGAUGAGCUCGCGGCCUAUCAGCUAGUUGGUGUGGGUAACGGCCCACCAAGGCGACGACGGGUAGCCGGCCUGGAGAGGGCGACCGGCCACACUGGGACUGAGACACGGCCCAGACUCCUACGGGAGGCAGCAGG
rnacentral:rRNA from 1 species